rnacentral:rRNA from 1 species
GAUGAACGCUGGCGGCGUGCUUAACACAUGCAAGUCGAACGAGAAAUGGAGACGGAAACCUUCGGGCGGAAGGCUUCAUUUCGAGUGGCGGACGGGUGAGUAACGCGUGGGUAACCUGCCUCAUACAGGGGGAUAACAGUUGGAAACGACUGUUAAUACCGCAUAAGACCACAGCACCGCAUGGUGCGGGGGUAAAAACUCCGGUGGUAUGAGAUGGACCCGCGUUCGAUUAGCCAGUUGGCGGGGUAACGGCCCACCAAAGCGACGAUCGAUAGCCGAUCUGAGAGGAUGCCCGGCCACAUUGGGACUGAGACACGGCCCAAACUCCUACGGGAGGCAGCAGUGGGGAAUAUUGCACAAUGGGGGAAACCCUGAUGCAGCGACGCCGCGUGAGUGAAGAAGUACUUCGGUAUGUAAAGCUCUAUCAGCAGGGAAGAAAAUGACGGUACCUGAGUAAGAAGCCCCGGCUAACUACGUG